AUUGAACGCUGGCGGCAUGCUUUACACGUGCAAGUCGAACGGCAGCGCGGGCUUCGGCCUGGCGGCGAGUGGCGAACGGGUGAGUAAUACAUCGGAACGUGCCCAGUCGUGGGGGAUAGCUCGGCGAAAGCCGGAUUAAUACCGCAUACGACCUGAGGGUGAAAGCGGGGGAUCUUCGGACCUCGCGCUAUUGGAGCGGCCGAUGGCAGAUUAGCUAGUUGGUGGGGUAAAGGCCUACCAAGGCGACGAUCUGUAGCUGGUCUGAGAGGACGACCAGCCACACUGGGACUGAGACACGGCCCAGACUCCUACGGGAGGCAGCAGUGGGGAAUUUUGGACAAUGGGCGAAAGCCUGAUCCAGCAAUGCCGCGUGUGUGAUGAAGGCCUUCGGGUUGUAAAGCACUUUUGGCGGGAACGAAAAGGACUGUGCCAAUACCACGGUUCGAUGACGGUACCCGCAGAAUAAGCACCGGCUAACUACGUG
rnacentral:rRNA from 1 species